GACGUAUCCAGAGUGCAGCGAGAGAUCUAGCUCGACGACCUGCCGGCAACCAGCUCUAUGCCAGGUGCCCCUUCUAGCCAAACAAUAAUAGUUUGGAAAGAUAAGAC
rnacentral:ncRNA from 2 species